GAGAGUUAAAUAGUACGUGAAAUUGUUGAAAGGGAAACGAUUGAAGUCAGUCAUGCUAGUGAAAAAUCAGUUUGACGGGUUUUGAGUUCGGGAGUAGAGGCAGGGUCAAACCGUUUCUCUUUUGGACUUGAGAUUUGUCGGAUGUACUUUUUCUUUGGCAGGUCAGCGUCGGUUUCGGAGGUUGUAAAAUACUUGGGGGAAAGUAGCUCUGCUUCGGGAGAGUGUUAUAGACCCUGGGGGAUGCAGCCUGCGGGAUCGAGGAUUGCAGCAAAUGCUUUUUGGCUUGUCGCCUGAUCUCUGGAUGUUACCUUGCUUGUGACAACAUUCUUGCCACCGGUGAGUACUAAUGCCCAUUAGGUUAGAACGAUCAAAAAUUUGCUAAGGAUGCUGACGUAAUGGCUUUAAACGA
rnacentral:rRNA from 1 species